GUUGGCUAUAAUAAGCUAACCAUCACUAUAUAACCGUAACAAUGUGAAUUAUUGAUGGUAGCUAAAGGCUAUAUGUUGUAUUGUCUUCAUUGGUUUCACUUUUAUUUCUUUAGGAAAAGGAGAUGGCCAAAGGAAAAGCAAAGAUCGACAGCAGUGGUAAAGGAGAUGCUAUAACAUCUAACUUUGAUGUGAUGAACAGAAACAAUAUAAGUGAUUCACACGUGAGAAUAUUAAUGAUAAAGUGAUGCAAUUGUAUAUUAAGUAGAAUUUACCAUUUAGUUUCAAAUGCUGUCUUUCAAAAAAGAAUUAUAAUCAAAUUUCAGUGUACAGUUGCACAUUAAAGUUUAUUUUUUAAAUAACAUCAAUCAAAAAGACUUUGAUGUGCUACAGCUGAACAGAAACAAUAUAUGAUUUGAUAUUUUUUUAAAGACCUAAAUUUAAAACUUUAUUAUCAACUUUAUUGAUAUAAAAUUGCUUCAGUUUAUCACUAAAACACUCAUUUUAAGUGGAAAUUAAUUAAUUUAGUUGGUCCUUAUGUGUCAAGUCAGCUUAGCUCCACCGCAGCCUCGGUCACUCAGGUCAAGGAAGAGGGAAUGUCCAAGUGAUGAAAUCUCAGAGACUGAUGAUGUCCCGGCUACUCUCCAUCAUCAGGACACUGAAGUAAAUAAUACAGCAGUGGCCGCACUGUUACAGUGCCACCACUCCCCUCUGCAGGAAUCUACUAUGAUUUCAACUCAACAGUAUGAGGCAGCAGAACAGUCGUCUCUCGCCAAACAAGAUCCUAACACAGAAGAAAAACAACCAGAAGCAACAAAUGUGGCGGUUAAAGCUCUUGAAGAGCAAGAAGAGACCGCAGUUACCAAUCCCAACAAUGAUUUUCAUCCGGAGGGCGUUAAAGUACAUCCUGAUAAUGAUGCUAACAAGAGUGGAAAGGACCAGGAGGAAUGUAACAGCUCACCGUCUCAAACAUGCACCGAUCAACUCCAGGUCUUCUUGCCGAUCUCUGAAGAGGGUGAUUUGGAGGAGCAACUGAGUGCAAAGGAGACCUCUCAAUGCAAUUUGGAGAAAAAACAAGAAGCCAGCCAAGAAAAACCCGGUAAUGUGUACAUGGUUGAUGUCAAGGAAAUCAUAAAGGAGGCCGUUGCGGGGUUACCGGCCAAAAAGAAGCGACGGAUGGGUAUGUGUGGGCUGACAGAGAGAGAGAGGAGUCACUUUUUACACAGCACGAAAGCGUGA
rnacentral:lncRNA from 1 species